rnacentral:rRNA from 1 species
GUCCACGCCCUAAACGAUGUCAACUGGUUGUUGGGUCUUCACUGACUCAGUAACGAAGCUAACGCGUGAAGUUGACCGCCUGGGGAGUACGGCCGCAAGAUUAAAACUCAAAGAAAUUGACGGGACCCGCACAAGCGGUGGAUGAUGUGGAUUAAUUCGAUGCAACGCGAAAACCUUACCCACCUUUGACAUGUACGGAAGUCGCUAGAGAUAGCUUCGUGCUCGAAAGAGAACCGUAACACAGGUGCUGCAUGGCUGUCGU